rnacentral:lncRNA from 1 species
UUUCAACUAGCUGGAUAUGUCCAAGGAAAAAAAAGAAGCGGAACAACAACUGCAUCGUGGAUCAAACUCUUGAUCACCUCUGUACUACAUAAUUAUUAGCCUUUACAAUCGAGAGAAGAUUUAACGUACCCUAAAACCGAGGGUCUUUAUGAAACCAAAGAAAACGGUACCAAAAAGAGAGAACAGAUCUCUUCAACAAUGUAAAAACUCUCCACCAAACACCUAACAUCAAAGAAGGCUCUCAAUAUAUGAAAAGCAUCAUACAUUUGAAGGGGAAAAGAGGAAAAAUAAUCAUCCUUCAAAGUGCAAGACCUCAAUCAACUCAAAUAAUCGCCACAAUGAAUAAACGUGGUAAACUCAACCCAACUAAAUCAAUUCAGAUCUAACAAACGAACGUCAAAUAAUCUGCGACAGCAAGCUCAAAUAAAUAUAUCUAUACACCAUUUAUAUAGCAACAAUGACAACAACUAAUUAUAUAAGAACAACUAAUUAUAUAAGAACACUAGUGAUCAACUAGCGGCACCUAUCCAUAGAUCAUGGCAUGUGCAACUUGGAAAGGGCUCUCAACACAUGCACUUGCAGCCUCAGUAGGAAGAUGUACUCGGCGGUGCGCACGAGAAGCUGCUCGGCCUGCAACUCCCUCCCGCCCGGCACGAGCCUCUGGAGCUCCGUCACCUUCCUCCGCACUGACCCGUGAAAGGCCUGCCUCCCUUUCCGUCGGCGGCUUGCAGCGGCGAUCCCGCGCCGCGCCACCUUUCUUAGCCCGGCCUCCUCUCGCCGUGGCCUCUUCAUUCGAAGAAGGUGGUGGAGAGCAAUUUGGAGGGGGGAGGGAGGGGAAGGGGGGUUGGGUGUGAAGGAAGGAGAAGAAUAUGGGAGGAGUUAAUAAAUAAGAUGCGAGGAGAAGCAGAGAUAUAAAGAGGGGAAGGAGAGGGCUUGGCCAUGUGCG